rfam:Triticum aestivum genome assembly, contig: Triticum_aestivum_CS42_TGACv1_scaffold_327871_4BS
CUAGUACUCCCUCCGUCCCAAAAUUCUUGUCUUAGAUUUGUCUGGAUAUGGAUGUAUCUAAUACUAAAACAUGACUUGAUACAUCCGUAUUUGAACAAAUCUAGGACAAGAAUUUCGGGACGGAGGGAGUACUAG